UACGAAGGGGGCUAGCGUUGUUCGGAAUUACUGGGCGUAAAGGGCGCGUAGGCGGCCUUCUAAGUCGAACGUGAAAUCCCUGGGCUCAACCCAGGAACUGCGUCCGAUACUGGAAGGCUUGAAUCCGGGAGAGGGAUGCGGAAUUCCAGGUGUAGCGGUGAAAUGCGUAGAUAUCUGGAGGAACACCGGUGGCGAAGGCGGCAUCCUGGACCGGCAUUGACGCUGAGGCGCGAAAGCGUGGGGAGCGAACAGG
rnacentral:rRNA from 1 species